UUCAUUUGAAGUGAAAAUUUGACCAUUUGAAUAUGAUAAAAAUAUUCAAUAAAAUAAACUAUUUUCUUGUAAAAUAAUUUUCAUAAAACUAUCGAUACAUAAUUCUUAUAGCGUAAAAGAUAAUUAUAUUCAUAUAUACUAUAAAGCAAAUAACCAAAGCAUAAAAUUUCUUUUACAGUGACACGUGGGCCCAUAUCUAUCCAAAAUGCAUCGGAAGCUGGAAACCUACAGCUUUUACCGAUUCGAGUCCAAAUGAAGGUCCUUGUUCAAGUCAGCUAACUACGAAA
rnacentral:lncRNA from 1 species